rnacentral:rRNA from 1 species
UGGUGGGUAGUUUGACUGGGGCGGUCUCCUCCUAAAGAGUAACGGAGGAGCACGAAGGUUGGCUAAUCCUGGUCGGACAUCAGGAGGUUAGUGCAAUGGCAUAAGCCAGCUUGACUGCGAGCGUGACGGCGCGAGCAGGUGCGAAAGCAGGUCAUAGUGAUCCGGUGGUUCUGAAUGGAAGGGCCAUCGCUCAACGGAUAAAAGGUACUCCGGGGAUAACAGGCUGAUACCGCCCAAGAGUUCAUAUCGACGGCGGUGUUUGGCACCUCGAUGUCGGCUCAUCACAUCCUGGGGCUGAAGUAGGUCCCAAGGGUAUGGCUGUUCGCCAUUUAAAGUGGUACGCGAGCUGGGUUUAGAACGUCGUGAGACAGUUCGGUCCCUAUCUGCCGUGGGCGCUGGAGAACUGAGGGGGGCUGCUCCUAGUACGAGAGGACCGGAGUGGACGCAUCACUGGUGUUCGGGUUGUCAUGCCAAUGGCACUGCCCGGUAGCUAAAUGCGGAAGAGAUAAGUGCUGAAAGCAUCUAAGCACGAAACUUGCCCCGAGAUGAGUUCUCCCUGAGACUUUAGG